UGUGUGUGUGUGUGUUAUGCUGAGUUGUACAUGUUGUAUGUCCCAGUGAAUUAAUCUCAGGAACAGGAGUGAGGGGUUAUUUACAAAAACUGGGCAAUUUACCUAUGGCUACACCACUGAGGAAAACAUCUCUCUUCCCCAGAAACCAUUAAUUACUGCCAAUAGAUACUCAUGAGAAGUGGGGCCUCAUGAGAACCCACCUUGAAAUUCUCCCUGGAGGAAGGUGGGACUGUGCGUGGCACUUGGUUCGGUACUUAGCCGUUAGAUGGAGCCCAGCCCCACAGCCGUAAGAACCAGCUCAGAAACUUUCCCCAGCUCUACUCUAAGGCCCCUCUCUCCUCUAGUACACUUGACUCACGUCUAUUGCCUUAGGGAAGUCUUAUUUCUUCUGGGGAGAGGAAAGCCUGGCCAAAGUAUUCACAUUGCUUAACUUCUGAGUCAGAUCUAGGGACAAAGGUCUGUGUUACGAAAGGGUAAGUGAAACUCAGCCUCAGGCCUGGUGGGGGCUGGUGCUUAUUUCACAGGGAAACCUUUUCAGUUUGUAUAAUCAACACGUUCCAUCUUUCCUUCAUUGAAUUGUUAGAAGCAAAAACCAGAGUUCCCGGCUGCUAAGGUUCAUGCUAGGACUAUCGAUCUGGUGGAAAGGCUCUCCAGCCUUGAUAUGCCAACAGCUAUUACUGCCAUUUCCCACCUUAGUCUCCAUUUCUCUAAGGGAUACAACCCUGCAUGCAUCACAGACUAUACCCCCUCUCUAGGGACCAGUGUAAUGUGAAAAUAAAUUCCCCUUCACUCAAACUUCCUAAAAAUUCCAGCUCCGCAGCAGCAGAGCGUUAAGGCAAGUGUGGCUAGACUCUACUGAGUCCAUGGUGCUGUCGACACACAGGCACAUGCCAAGGAAUCUGGCCCUGCGUCCACUGCCUCUAUUUGUCACAUCACCAAAUUGCCAACAUUUGCUUUCCUUCCAAGCCUCUGAGUCUCUCCUUCCUCCUGCUUGGCCUGUCUCAGAGACAAGAGAGAGAAAUCGCUGGUGUUUACUGAAGGCAACUUCAACCGGGAGUGGAAGGGAGAGCUCAGAUUAGCUGCGGGCGCUUCAGCUGUUUGUAGUAAAACUUUGAACUCCUCCAAGAAACCUCCUUUCUGAUUCUCUCAGAUUUUAUCUGAUUAACUGGACAGUCCACAAAUUCCUCAAGUGUUUCACCCUUUGUGUAGUCAAGGACUUGCCCCUGAGCACAAACUGGAAAUGGAUUUGGUGUGUGUCACCUCAAGUUCAAUCUAGCAAACACUGGCUUGUUGCUAGGCCUGGGUCUGGCUGCUUUUGAAGUAAGUUUCUUCACUUGGGUGGGCUCAGUCACAGCCUGGAACUUUCUCAACAGUAGCAGGCAAUCCAUUGAGCUGAGACCUGGUGUUUGCUUUUCUUGCCUCAGCAGCUAAGCAGGGAGCACCCCUUGAACUGUUCAGAGUGGGAUUUGGAAUGUCAGUCAAGACCCUAGUGCUGAGAUAGGCCUCAGCAGGGGAGGAAGCAACAGUGGAGGCUAACCUGUCAUCUGGAGUCUCAUCUGCAGAUAGAGACAGGACUGCCUAUGGAGCCCUUAGUCUUCUGAGUACCUGUGCCUCUCUUCCGAGCAGCAGUCCUUGUCCCACCCACUCAUGGCUCUGUCUUAUCCAUGAGUUCUCAUCCACCCUGGAGUUCAAACAAGGUAAGAGUCCCAGGUUCCCAGAAAUAGAACAGUAAAGAUAAGACUAUCCGGAAAGUCGCUGUGUUCUGUGAGAAGCUCCUGUGGGUGCUGGUGCAGACACAUUUUAUGAUGGUUUUGUAGGGUUUGAGGAGAUCUUUUGUCCACAGAAGUGUCCUAUAGAAUUCGGUGCUCUUGGGUCCUGAUCCAGGGCCGUUUCACCAUUUUCCUGAGUACAUAUGAUGUGAGUCAGGCACCAUGCAGGACUUGCUCUCAGUUCCCACAGUUCUGUCAGAGCCAAGUUGCUCUACUUCUUUUUGAGGGGAGGAAAAUAUCAGAACUCAACCUGGUCAAAUACCGUAGGUGGGAUGCCAUGAUUAAAUCGAUAAAAGUGAGGAUUUUUAAU
rnacentral:lncRNA from 1 species